rnacentral:rRNA from 1 species
GAUUAAGCCAUGCAUGUGUAAGUAUAAAUAAUUCUACUUUGAAACUGCGAAUGGCUCAUUAUAUCAGUUAUAGUUUAUUAGAAAAAAUGUACUACUUGGAUAACCGUAGUAAUUCUAGGGCUAAUACAUGAGUAAAUCCUCGACUUUGAAGAGGUGUGUUUAUUAGUAUGAAAACCAUAUGCUUCGGCAUGAUAGUGAGUAAUAAUAACCUUUCAUAUCGUAUGUUGAAAUAACGAUAGUUCUUUCAAGUUUCUGCCCUAUCAGCUUUCGAUGGUAGUGCAUUGGACUACCAUG